CUUCAUUCCACAUCCACACACGGCCUCUAAAUUUAGCUCCCUUUUCUCCGUUUUGCCCUCGGAUCCACUUUUUUUAUAUGGUUAUGGAAAUUUCAGAUAUUAUUUUUAGGUUUUGGAUUUAUUUAUUUAUUGUUGUUGGUUAGGAUUGAUGACGGUGGUGGUGGGCGUGCUGUGAUUUUCUAGACUUUCGGUUCCUGAUCUCUCCCGGUUUGGGAGAGGGAAGGAUGAAGUCUUUAUUUUCUUAGGGUUAGGGUUUUGAUUUUUUUUUUUUAAAUAUUGUUUUUGUAUUUUAUUUUCUGGUUUGGACUGUUGUAUAAGAUUUGGCAUUGUUAUAAACUUGGAAUUUUAUUUAAAAAGAAAAGAAAAGAAAAGAAAAUCCGGGUUUUUGUUUCUCUGUGUAUUGUGCGUUGUUUGGUGAAGCAAUUUCACAGAUGAGUUGCCUUCCUUGUAUGAGUCCUAGGAAGAGGGACGUGAGCAGAAUAGAGGACGACAAUGGCACAACUGGUCCAUCAAGUUCUUGCCAUUCUAUUGAUGAUUCUUUGGGGACUACAAGGGGAAAGGGUUCUUUUGAUUCUAGUGACAAUGGAAAGGGAAAAGGGUCUCUGAACGGUAAAGCACACCCCAAAAGCAAUGCGGCCCGGAGCUUCACAUUCCGGCAGCUCGCCACAGCCACAAGAAACUUUAAGGCGACAAAUUUGAUCGGAGAAGGAGGAUUUGGAAAAGUUUACAAGGGCCGCUUAGAUACCGGCGAGAUUGUUGCCAUCAAACAACUCAACCAUGAUGGACUUCAGGGGUUUCAAGAAUUCAUUGUGGAGGUGCUCAUGUUAAGCCUCUUACACCAUUCUAAUCUCGUCACCUUGAUCGGUUACUGCACGGAUGGAGAUCAAAGACUAUUGGUUUACGAGUACAUGGCAAUGGGUAGCUUGGAGCAUCAUCUUUUUGAUCUGGGCCCUGACCAAGAACCAUUAGGAUGGAACACAAGGAUACAGAUUGCUGUUGGUGCCGCUCGAGGCCUGGAGUAUCUCCAUUGCAAAGCAAAUCCACCGGUGAUUUACCGGGAUUUGAAAUCUGCAAAUAUAUUGUUGGACAAUGAAUUCAAUCCUAAGCUCUCAGAUUUUGGGCUUGCUAAACUGGGACCUGUGGGUGACAAUACUCAUGUCUCAACAAGAGUGAUGGGCACAUAUGGAUACUGUGCCCCUGAGUAUGCCAUGAGUGGCAAACUGACUCUUAAAUCUGAUAUCUAUAGCUUUGGUGUGGUUCUCUUGGAGCUGAUUACGGGCCGGAAAGCAAUCGACACCUCUAAGAGGCAGGGAGAGCAGAACCUAGUUGCUUGGUCUCGUCCUUUUCUAAAAGACCGGAAAAAGUUUAUACAACUGGUGGAUCCCCAGCUGCAAGGGAACUUCCCGGUCCGAGCUUUGCACCAUGCUAUUGCCAUCACUGCAAUGUGUCUUCAGGAGCAACCAAACUUCCGGCCCCUUAUUGGCGAUAUUGUUGUCGCCCUCGAGUACUUAGCCUCCGAAAGCCACAGCUCCGAACCCCAUAGGAAUCAGGUCAGACUCCCAUCAUCAUCACCUUCACAAGGGAGCAGGAACAGUAACAGUUUUUUACAAGAACCAUAUUCUAGAAAUAUUUUUUAGAGGUUGGUGGACACAAGAUGCUGAAAAACUUUGAAGUUCACCAUUGAUGAGAAGAGAACGGUUCCAAAACACUUGCCACGCAAAUAAGAUGAAGAAUUCAGAUAUUGACACUUGGGAAAGCGAUGGUAAGCGAGCCCUGCAGCAUCUAGAUUUGGUUCGACUGCCUCGGCAUCGCGGAAACGCUGAGAAAAGAAUUUGAACUUUGAAGCAAUACCAUGAUCUGGCCCGUGUGAUUGGUUACCGAGAAAGUUGAACAGACGGCGCAGACCAGAAAGGAGCUGAACUCUUUCUUCUAUAAGCCUCCAUCAUAUCACCAUUCAAAUGCUAGGAUUUAGUGUGUGGGUUCUAUUUAACUUUUUCCAGGUAAUUUGUUAAUGGUUUUGUUGUUGAGCCUUCUGUUCAUAAUGAUAAUAGUAAUGGCAAUAUAAAAAAAAAGUUUUUUGACUUAUUAUUCUACA